rnacentral:hammerhead_ribozyme from 1 species
AUCCAACUGACGAGUCCCAAACAGGACGAAAUGCGCGUCUUGGAC